rnacentral:rRNA from 1 species
GACGAACGCUGGCGGCGUGCCUAACACAUGCAAGUCGAACGGAAAGGCCCUGUUCUUGUGGGAUGUGCGUGUGGCGAGCGGGUGAGUGUCACGCGAGUAACCUGCCCCUUACUUCGGGAUACCUUCAGGAAACUCGGGUGAAUAUCGGACAUGAGCUCUUUCUGCACGGGGUUUGUUGUAAAGAGGCGGCGGUUGGGGAUGGACACGUGGCUCAUCAGCUUGUUGGUGAGGUAGUGGCUUACCAAGGCUCCGACGGGUAGCCGGCCUGGGAGGGUGACCGGCCACAUAGGGACUGGGGUACGGGCCAGAGUGAUACGGGAGGCAGCGGUGGGAGUUAUUGCGCGAUGGGCCGAGGCCUGGUAGAGCGACGCCGCGUGCGAGAUGACGGCCUUCGGGUUAGAAAGCGGUUUAGAGUGGAACGAAGCGUGAGUGACGGUAAUGGGUAAGAAAGCGACGGCUAACUACGUG